CCUACGGGGAGCAGCAGUGGGGAAUAUUGGACAAUGGGCGAAAGCCUGAUCCAGCCAUGCCGCGUGUGUGAAGAAGGCCUUCGGGUUGUAAAGCACUUUCAGUGGGGAAGAAAGCCUUGGGGCUAAUACCCUCGAGGAAGGACAUCACCCACAGAAGAAGCACCGGCUAACUCCGUGCCAGCAGCCGCGGUAAUACGGAGGGUGCGAGCGUUAAUCGGAAUUACUGGGCGUAAAGCGCGCGUAGGCGGUCUGAUAAGCCGGUUGUGAAAGCCCCGGGCUCAACCUGGGAACGGCAUCCGGAACUGUCAGGCUAGAGUGCAGGAGAGGAAGGUAGAAUUCCCGGUGUAGCGGUGAAAUGCGUAGAGAUCGGGAGGAAUACCAGUGGCGAAGGCGGCCUUCUGGACUGACACUGACGCUGAGGUGCGAAAGCGUGGGUAGCAAACAGGAUUAGAUACCCGAUAGUC
rnacentral:rRNA from 1 species